UACGGAGGAUCCAAGCGUUAUCCGGAUUUAUUGGGUUUAAAGCGCACGUAGGCGGUCUUUUAAGUCGGGGGUGAAAUCCUGGAGCUCAACUCCAGAACUGCCUUCGAUACUGGAAGACUUGAGUCCGGGAGAGGUGAGUGGAACUGCGAGUGUAGAGGUGAAAUUCGUAGAUAUUCGCAAGAACACCAGUGGCGAAGGCGGCUCACUGGCCCGGUACUGACGCUGAGGUGCGAAAGCGUGGGGAGCAAACAGG
rnacentral:rRNA from 1 species